rnacentral:rRNA from 1 species
AUUGAACGCUGGCGGUAUGCUUAACACAUGCAAGUCGAACGGUAGCAGGCCUUCGGGCGCUGACGAGUGGCGGACGGGGGAGUAACGCGUAGGAAUCUGCCUCAUAGUGGGGGACAACGUGGGGAAACUCACGCUAAUACCGCAUACGCCCUACGGGGGAAAGCGGGGGCUCUUCGGACCUCGCGCUAUGAGAUGAGCCUGCGUUAGAUUAGCUAGUUGGUAGGGUAAAAGCCUACCAAGGCGACGAUCUAUAGCUGGUCUGAGAGGACGAUCAGCCACACUGGGACUGAGACACGGCCCAGACUCCUACGGGAGGCAGCAGUGGGGAAUAUUGGACAAUGGGCGCAAGCCUGAUCCAGCAAUACCGCGUGUGUGAAGAAGGCCCUAGGGUUGUAAAGCACUUUCAAUUGGGAGGAAAACCUGCCGGUCAAUACCCGGCAGCUUGACAUUACCUUUAGAAGAAGCACCGGCUAACUCCGUGCCAGCAGCCGCCGUAAUAC